GACGAACGCUGGCGGCGUGCUUAACACAUGCAAGUCGUACGGUAAGGCCCUUUCGGGGGUACACGAGUGGCGAACGGGUGAGUAACACGUGAGUAACCUGCCCACAACUUUGGGAUAACGCUAGGAAACUGGUGCUAAUACUGGAUAUGUGCUCCUGCUGCAUGGUGGGGGUUGGAAAGCUCCGGCGGUUGUGGAUGGACUCGCGGCCUAUCAGCUUGUUGGUGGGGUAGUGGCCUACCAAGGCGGCGACGGGUAGCCGGCCUGAGAGGGUGACCGGCCACAUUGGGACUGAGAUACGGCCCAGACUCCUACGGGAGGCAGCAGUGGGGAAUAUUGCACAAUGGGCGCAAGCCUGAUGCAGCAACGCCGCGUGCGGGAUGACGGCCUUCGGGUUGUAAACCGCUUUCAGCAGGGACGAAGCUUUUUGUGAUGGUACCUGCAGAAGAAGCACCGGCUAACUACGUG
rnacentral:rRNA from 1 species